rnacentral:tRNA from 1 species
UAAAAGAUAAGCUAAAUUAAGCUAAUGGGCUCAUACCCCAUAAAUGAGAGUUUAAUCUCUCUCUUUUUA